ensembl:snoRNA U8 U8 small nucleolar RNA
UCAUCAGGUAGGAUAAUCCUUACUGUUCCUCCUUCUAGAGGGCAGUUGGAACAUGAUGAUUGGAGUUCAUGGGAUAUUUGAUUAGUGUUUCUGCAUAAUCACGACUUGCAACACCCUGAUUAAUUCUACCUAUCUGAU